ACGAACGCUGGCGGCGUGCUUAACACAUGCAAGUCGAACGGGGCGAAGAGGAGCUUGCUCUUCCUAGCCUAGUGGCAAACGGGUGAGUAACGCGUAGGCAACCUGCCCUUCAGAUGGGGACAACAUUUCGAAAGGAAUGCUAAUACCGAAUGAUGUGCAUUGGUCGCAUGACCGAUGUACCAAAGGCCGGGCAACCGGUCACUGAAGGAUGGGCCUGCGUCUGAUUAGCUAGUUGGUGGGGUAACGGCUCACCAAGGCGACGAUCAGUAGCCGGUCUGAGAGGAUGAACGGCCACAUUGGGACUGAGACACGGCCCAAACUCCUACGGGAGGCAGCAGUGGGGAAUCUUCCGCAAUGGGCGCAAGCCUGACGGAGCAACGCCGCGUGAGUGAAAGAAGGUUUUCGGAUCGUAAAGCUCUGUUGUCAGGGACGAGAGACUUGAUCAGGAAAUGGGUCAAGGAGGACGGUACCUGACGAGAAAGCCACGGCUAACUACGUGCCAGCCGCCGC
rnacentral:rRNA from 1 species